rnacentral:SRP_RNA from 2 species
GCCGGGUGUGGCAGCGGGCACCUGUAAUCCCAGCUACUUGGGAGGCUGAGGCAGGAGGAUCACUUGAACCCAGGAGGCAGAGGUUCCAGUGAGGCGAAAUCACGCCACUGCACUCCAGCCUGGGUGACAGAGUGAGACUCUGUCUUGA